rnacentral:rRNA from 1 species
AACGAACGCUGGCGGCAGGCCUAACACAUGCAAGUCGAACGAACCCUUCGGGGUUAGUGGCGGACGGGUGAGUAACACGUGGGAACGUGCCUUUAGGUUCGGAAUAACUCAGGGAAACUUGUGCUAAUACCGAAUGUGCCCUUCGGGGGAAAGAUUUAUCGCCUUUAGAGCGGCCCGCGUCUGAUUAGCUAGUUGGUGAGGUAAUGGCUCACCAAGGCUACGAUCAGUAGCUGGUCCGAGAGGAUGACCAGCCACAUUGGGACUGAGACACGGCCCAAACUCCUACGGGAGGCAGCAGUGGGGAAUCUUGCGCAAUGGGCGAAAGCCUGACGCAGCCAUGCCGCGUGGAUGAUGAAGGUCUUAGGAUUGUAAAAUCCUUUCACCGGUGAAGAUAAUGACUGUAGCCGGAGAAGAAGCCCCGGCUAACUUCGUGCCAGCAGCCGCCGCGGUAA